rnacentral:rRNA from 1 species
CGGGACACGUGGUAUCCUGUCUGAAUAUGGGGGGACCAUCCUCCAAGGCUAAAUACUCCUGACUGACCGAUAGUGAACCAGUACCGUGAGGGAAAGGCGAAAAGAACCCCGGCGAGGGGAGUGAAAAAGAACCUGAAACCGUGUACGUACAAGCAGUGGGAGCACGCUUAGGCGUGUGACUGCGUACCUUUUGUAUAAUGGGUCAGCGACUUAUAUUCUGUAGCAAGGUUAACCGAAUAGGGGAGCCGAAGGGAAACCGAGUCUUAACUGGGCGUUAAGUUGCAGGGUAUAGACCCGAAACCCGGUGAUCUAGCCAUGGGCAGGUUGAAGGUUGGGUAACACUAACUGGAGGACCGAACCGACUAAUGUUGAAAAAUUAGCGGAUGACUUGUGGCUGGGGGUGAAAGGCCAAUCAAACCGGGAGAUAGCUGGUUCUCCCCGAAAGCUAUUUAGGUAGCGCCUCGUGAAUUCAUCUCCGGGGGUAGAGCACUGUUUCGGCAAGGGGGUCAUCCCGACUUACCAACCCGAUGCAAACUGCGAAUACCGGAGAAUGUUAUCACGGGAGACACACGGCGGGUGCUAACGUCCGUCGUGAAGAGGGAAACAACCCAGACCGCCAGCUAAGGUCCCAAAGUCAUGGUUAAGUGGGAAACGAUGUGGGAAGGCCCAGACAGCCAGGAUGUUGGCUUAGAAGCAGCCAUCAUUUAAAGAAAGCGUAAUAGCUCACUGGUCGAGUCGGCCUGCGCGGAAGAUGUAACGGGGCUAAACCAUGCACCGAAGCUGCGGCAGCGACGCUGAUGCGUUGUUGGGUAGGGGAGCGUUCUGUAAGCCUGCGAAGGUGUGCUGUGAGGCAUGCUGGAGGUAUCAGAAGUGCGAAUGCUGACAUAAGUAACGAUAAAGCGGGUGAAAAGCCCGCUCGCCGGAAGACCAAGGGUUCCUGUCCAACGUUAAUCGGGGCAGGGUGAGUCGACCCCUAAGGCGAGGCCGAAAGGCGUAGUCGAUGGGAAACAGGUUAAUAUUCCUGUACUUGGUGUUACUGCGAAGGGGGGACGGAGAAGGCUAUGUUGGCCGGGCGACGGUUGUCCCGGUUUAAGCGUGUAGGCUGGUUUUCCAGGCAAAUCCGGAAAAUCAAGGCUGAGGCGUGAUGACGAGGCACUACGGUGCUGAAGCAACAAAUGCCCUGCUUCCAGGAAAAGCCUCUAAGCAUCAGGUAACAUCAAAUCGUACCCCAAACCGACACAGGUGGUCAGGUAGAGAAUACCAAGGCGCUUGAGAGAACUCGGGUGAAGGAACUAGGCAAAAUGGUGCCGUAACUUCGGGAGAAGGCACGCUGAUAUGUAGGUGAAGCGACUUGCUCGUGGAGCUGAAAUCAGUCGAAGAUACCAGCUGGCUGCAACUGUUUAUUAAAAACACAGCACUGUGCAAACACGAAAGUGGACGUAUACGGUGUGACGCCUGCCCGGUGCCGGAAGGUUAAUUGAUGGGGUUAGCGCAAGCGAAGCUCUUGAUCGAAGCCCCGGUAAACGGCGGCCGUAACUAUAACGGUCCUAAGGUAGCGAAAUUCCUUGUCGGGUAAGUUCCGACCUGCACGAAUGGCGUAAUGAUGGCCAGGCUGUCUCCACCCGAGACUCAGUGAAAUUGAACUCGCUGUGAAGAUGCAGUGUACCCGCGGCAAGACGGAAAGACCCCGUGAACCUUUACUAUAGCUUGACACUGAACAUUGAGCCUUGAUGUGUAGGAUAGGUGGGAGGCUUUGAAGUGUGGACGCCAGUCUGCAUGGAGCCGACCUUGAAAUACCACCCUUUAAUGUUUGAUGUUCUAACGUGGACCCGUAAUCCGGGUUGCGGACAGUGUCUGGUGGGUAGUUUGACUGGGGCGGUCUCCUCCUAAAGAGUAACGGAGGAGCACGAAGGUUGGCUAAUCCUGGUCGGACAUCAGGAGGUUAGUGCAAUGGCAUAAGCCAGCUUGACUGCGAGCGUGACGGCGCGAGCAGGUGCGAAAGCAGGUCAUAGUGAUCCGGUGGUUCUGAAUGGAAGGGCCAUCGCUCAACGGAUAAAAGGUACUCCGGGGAUAACAGGCUGAUACCGCCCAAGAGUUCAUAUCGACGGCGGUGUUUGGCACCUCGAUGUCGGCUCAUCACAUCCUGGGGCUGAAGUAGGUCCCAAGGGUAUGGCUGUUCGCCAUUUAAAGUGGUACGCGAGCUGGGUUUAGAACGUCGUGAGACAGUUCGGUCCCUAUCUGCCGUGGGCGCUGGAGAACUGAGGGGGGCUGCUCCUAGUACGAGAGGACCGGAGUGGACGCAUCACUGGUGUUCGGGUUGUCAUGCCAAUGGCACUGCCCGGUAGCUAAAUGCGGAAGAGAUAAGUGCUGAAAGCAUCUAAGCACGAAACUUGCCCCGAGAUGAGUUCUCCCUGACUCCUUGAGAGUCCUGAAGGAACGUUGAAGACGACGACGUUGAUAGGCCGGGUGUGUAAGCGCAGCGAUGCGUUGAGCUAACCGGUACUAAUGAACCGUGAGGCUUAACCUU